rnacentral:rRNA from 1 species
CAGCCGCCACGGUAAUACAGAGGGUGCGAGCGUUAAUCGGAAUUAUUGGGCGUAAAGAGCUCGUAGGCGGCUAGUCGCGUCAGCUGUGAAAACCUGGGGCUCAACCCCGGGCCUGCAGCCGAUACGGGCUAGCUAGAAUUCGGUAGGGGAGACUGGAAUUCCUGGUGUAGCGGUGAAAUGCGCAGAUAUCAGGAGGAACACCGGUGGCGAAGGCGGGUCUCUGGGCCGAUAUUGACGCUGAGGAGCGAAAGCGCGGGGAGCGAACAGGAUUAGAUACCCCUGUAGUCCAUGUCUCUUAUAA